ACUGGUAUUAACAUUCUUGUUUAUUUCUCAUCUCAAGGUCAAUGCUUAGCAACAAGGUCCAUUAAUGAGUAUUCACCAUAGGGUUAAUUUACAGUAGAUUUUAUCCAAAGAUAAAACUUCAUUGUCUUCUCAUAACUUACUUUCAAUACUGUCAGUAUCAGGCACUGACCCUAAUUUCAACUUCCUCAAUCAAGAGCCAGUAGUAGUUUUUACUAACUGCAGUGAGCCAUAAAAGAACAAAACCCCAAACCUUGGAGCAUCAAAAGUGGUAUCAAUUAAAACCAAUCACUUUACUAGAUCUAUCAUCAACCCAAUAUAUUAAAACCCUCCUAAUUUUCAAAACUUUAAUCUUCAACAAGUAUGGGCCAAAUCUCAUGAAAUCUGAACUUAAGGGAGGAAUCCAAAACUUUACACUGCAAUUUUGUUGCAACAAACUGCUUGCCAGGAGUGCUUUAGGCUGGUGAUCUCAUAUAGGGAUUUAUGCUGCAACCAUAUCUGCUGCACAUAAUGAUAACAUACAGAAAAACACAUCUUCUCCUACAGAGGGAGUGCAAUAUAAAAU
rnacentral:lncRNA from 1 species